CGCGAACGGGUGAGUAACACGUGGGUAACGUACCCCAAUGACUGGGACAACCCGGGGAAACCCGGGCUAAUACCGGAUGUGCUCCUUCCACAUCAGUGGAUUGAGUAAAGGUAGCUUCGGCUUCCGCAUUGGGAUCGGCCGCGGCGCAUUAGCUUGUUGGUGGGGUAACGGCCUACCAAGGCGACGAUGCGUAGCUGGUCUGAGAGGACGAUCAGCCACACUGGGACUGAGACACGGCCCAGACUCCUACGGGAGGCAGCAGUGGGGAAUCUUGCGCAAUGCGCGAAAGCGUGACGCAGCAACGCCGCGUGAGGGAAGACGGCCUUCGGGUUGUAAACCUCUUUCAGGAGGGACGAAGCCUGGCAGGUGAAUAGCCUGUCCAGGUGACGGUACCUCCACAAGAAGCCCCGGCUAACUACGUGCCAGCAGCCGCGG
rnacentral:rRNA from 1 species